CAUGAUUUCUUGCUCGCUUAGUUCCUUGCCAGCUUAGAGGGAAGGCUGCCCCAAUACAACACCCGCAUCGCCCUGCCGCUUGCUACUUCCAAGGACAAGUUUUUUGAUGAAGAGAGUGAGGAGGAGGACAACGAAGUAGUGACCCGCGCAUCGCUCAAAAUCCGUUCCCAGAAAUUAAUCGAAAGCCGCAAGAAGCACCAUCGCUCUCGAAGGUCCUAGACUCGCCCUGGCAGCCCCCAUCGGAGCCCCCGAUUCCUCCGGGUCUAGCGAAGGCCCCACGGGGCCCCUUUAAGGGCCGAAAGCGGUCUGGACAGGGAGCCGAGGCGGCCAGCGGCGCCCGGAGGAGAAGAAGGAGCUGGGCCAGACGUUCCCACAGUAAAUUUCCCCAGCUGGGUCUGCCCUGGCCUCAGAAUUGUGCAAUAAAGGUCUCAGACCAAG